CACGUAGGAGACAAGCGUUAUCCGGAUUUACUGGGUGUAAAGCGCGUGCAGGCGGUCGGAUAAGUUGGAUGUGAAAGCUCCCGGCUUAACUGGGAGAGGUCGUUCAAUACUGUCGGACUAGAGGAUGGCAGAGGAGAGUGGAAUUCCGAGUGUAGCGGUAAAAUGCAUAGAUAUUCGGAAGAACACCAGUGGCGAAGGCGGCUCUCUGGGCCAUAUCUGACGCUCAGACGCGAAAGCUAGGGUAGCAAACGGG
rnacentral:rRNA from 1 species